GGAUAGAGCAUUUCAUAUUUCCAGCUCUCUACCAACAGGCAUCUAGUAGGGUUUUAUGCCACACAAAAGAACAGAGAAACGCUCUUGAUCUUGCCCAGUGAAAAUCACAGUGAUAAUUCUAAGGAAAGAUGGAGGGCUCUGACCAGGCAUGGUUCCCUCCUAGUUCACAAAUAUAACUCAAGGUGGCAAAUAUAUCCAACACCUUCCUCCUAUUUUCCCCACAAGAACCACCCUGCAGUUGGGUUUUGGGAUCUGGCUGUACAUGUCACACCCCAACAAUGCAAUUUGUUUUGACUAGUUUGGAUCAACUUCAACUCAGACAUGGAGAUUUCCAAGUGGCAACUUGUGGAUCUGAAGACCUAAUUCCUGCCUACCUUGAGGACAAAGUAGAUUUCUAUUGUUUUGAAGUUUCCCUUUUGCAGUUCCAUGUGAGUUUCAGAGUCCUCUGAUAACUAAGUGUGAGUUUAGGUUGCUGUACAGAUGAAGAGUCCCUGAACUGUUGUUGUCUUAAUGGUGAAGAAACUAUACUUCCAAGAACUCACAGCUAGCAAUUUUUCCAAUAUCUUUGAAUGGCACUCAGUUGUAGAAGAUUGAUAAGCAGGCCUUUUUUUGAAGCACUCCUGUCUAAAAAGAGAGAGAUCAGCUGCCUUCUACCUUCAGGCAAGUGGUUUUCUUAUUCCUUUGUCCUUCUGAUUGGUCCUUAUUACAGAUGUGAGGGCAUCCUUUUCAGAUUCCAGCCAUGGCACCUUAUAUACAGUAGUUGUCUAUUUACACUGUAUAAAUGUGUGUAUGGAGAUUCCAGUCAUGAAAACAACCACUUCAUAAACACAUGGCACAACAUAGGAGAACAAACCCAUCAGGACAAGAGUCAGCAGUCCAUCUGCAUUUAAAAGCCAAACUCCACUCUUUUGAAGACAGCAAAGUCCACAUUUUGGACAGCGGGGACCAGUGGUUUGAAAGAGGCCCUCUGUGUCAAAAUUGAACAUCCCUCUCUCAACCGAGAGGGCGGGAUACAACAUCAUCUAUCUCCAACCUACAUCACAGUCCUUUCAGCAGUUCCAAGAAGG